ensembl:lncRNA
GCGCCCUGUCAGACGAAGGCUGGAGCGCGGACGGCAAAGCCGCGCGGUUCAGCCUCGGUUGGGUCCACAGGACCUGGGCGUGGGGACACCACCAGGCAGGAGCAGAGGCAGGACUGGGACGCCAAAGGCUGAGAAUCCUCGAUGCCCGCGAGGGAGCCCCGUGGUUAUGGCGAGUUCUGGAGGCUGGGAAGUUCAAGACCAGUGCACUAGAAUUUGGUCUAAAGAACAUCUUCUCACUCUGAACACACAUAGUAGAAAGCAGAAGAGCAAGAGAGAGAACAAAGUCUGUGUCUCCACAUGGCAGAAGAGCAGAAGAGACAGAACCUACUCCUGAUGCUCACAUAAACCUAAAGCAUGCUCAGAUGGAGUUUCACUCUUGUUGCCCAGACUGGAGUGCAGUGGCACCAUCUCAGCUCAGAUAUAUACUUUGUACAAGCAUUGCAAACCCAGACUAUAGAUUCCUGGCACUCAAAAAUAUGUGAAGUCAUGCAAAUGCUAAUUGAAACCACAGAAUAUUUCAAUAAAUCAAUCAAUAUUGAGAAUCAGCUGUGUGCUCAGCACUGUGCCGUGAACUGGAUAAGGACAUAUCUUGGCAGAAGACACACACACACACACACAAGAAGAAUUUUAAAGUAGAACUAACCCCACAAAAAGAUGUUUUAAACCCUUACUCUUAUAAUGUCCAUACAGCUUAUGCAGCAAUUUUUCACAAUUAUUUCUCUUGCUUGUCUCUCAAACUUACAAAAAUGAAGCUCAGAGAGGCCUAGUUAGCAAUCACACACUUCUCUAGACCUCUAGUCAGUCCUACAGCAGUCUAUUUUUUUAUUAUUAUACUUUAAGUUCUAGGGUACAUGUGCACAAAGUGCAGGUUUGCUACAUAUGUAUACAUGUGCCAUGUUGGUGUGCUGCACCCAUCAACUCAUCAUUUACAUGAGGUAUAUCUCCUAAUGCUAUCCCUGCCCCCUCACUCCACCCCACGACAGGCCCUGGUCUAUGAGGUUCCCCUUCCUGUGUCCAAGUGUUCUCAAGAGAGAAUUUUACAGACUAUAGAGAGUUAUAAAAUUUUAAUUUUCAUAUGCAACAUAAUAACUCUUAAAGUUGCCUACUUUCUCUUAUAAGAUUGUCUUUCUCUGACCCAGUUCUGAGCCCCAUUUUCCUCGGCUCUGGGUUGUGAUCUCUAAUAACUCUUUAGAGUAAAGCUGUUAUUCCAGUGUGAACCGAUUGUUCCCUAUUCAAACAAUAUCAUGUGUGUAUACAUGCACAUGGAGUUUGAAGAGAUUCAAAUUACAGUGAUUAAUAAAAAUCAAUAACUUUAAAGUGAAAAAAUACAGGUGGAACGUCUCUAAUAUGAAAAUUCCAAACCCAAACAGCUCUAACAUCUGGAAUUUUUUGACUGAUGACCUGAUGACUUAAGUGAAAAAUUUAGCACCUGACUUCAUGUGACAGGUGGAAGUCAAAACUCAGUCAAACCUUUUCUUCAUGCUCAAAAAAACUUGAAUAUUAUGUAAAAUUGUUUUCAGACUAUGUGUAUAAAGUCACUGAUUAUGAAACUUUAAUGAAUUUCAUGUUGAAACUUGGGUUCCAUCUGCAAGAUAUUUCAUGGUACAUAUGCAAAUAUUUCAAAUCCAAAAAAAUCCCAAAUCUGAAAACAUUUAUGGUCCCAAGCAUUUUGGAAUAUGUAUAUUUAACCUGCAGUUUGACAUUUACUUAUUUUUGACAGACAGUCAUUCAACUCAUGUGACAAGUAAGAAUUUAUACGCAUUAAAAAGGGAAAUAAUUUAAGUGGAAUCAACUUAUAGCAGACAUUGAACUCCACAUAUUUGCAAUUUUGUAUUGUUAUUUUAUCAUUACCAUGGAAGUUAUGGGAGUUUUAAGGUGUCAGUGACCUUUAAUAUAGCCCCUUUCAGUAGGAUAUCCCAAAAGAAAAUAAAAA